AGGAUGAACGCUAGCUACAGGCUUAACACAUGCAAGUCGAGCGGUUUGUGCUUUUGCACAUUCAGCGGCAGACGGGUGAGUAACACGUAUCUAACCUUCCCUUACUUGGGCAUAGCCUCUGGAAACGGAGAUUAAUUUCCGAUGUGGUGUACAUUUCGCAUGUUUUGCGCACCAAAGAUUUAUCGGUAAGGGAUGGGGAUGCGCUCCAUUAGGUAGUAGGUAGGGUAAUGGCCUACCUAGCCUAUGAUGGAUAGGGGUUCUGAGAGGAAGGUCCCCCACAUUGGAACUGCGACACGGUCCAAACUCCUACGGGAGGCAGCAGUGAGGAAUAUUGGUCAAUGGCCGGAAGGCUGAACCAGCCAAGUAGCGUGCAGGAAGACUGCCUUAUGGGUUGUAAACUGCUUUUUUACGGGAAUAAUUAUGAUCACGUGUGAUUAUUUGCAUGUACCGUAAGAAUAAGGAUCGGCUAACUCCGUG
rnacentral:rRNA from 1 species